CGUGUAGGCGGUUUGUUAAGUCUGUUGUGAAAGCCCUGGGCUCAACCCAGGAAGUGCACUGGAUACUGGCAGACUUGAAUACGGGAGAGGGUAGUGGAAUUCCUGGUGUAGGAGUGAAAUCCGUAGAUAUCAGGAGGAACACCGGUGGCGAAGGCGGCUGCCUGGACCGAUAUUGACGCUGAGACGCGAAAGCGUGGGUAGCAAACA
rnacentral:rRNA from 1 species